GGUUGUGGUUCAGCGGUAGAGCACUUGCCUAGAAUGUGGGAGGUUUUGGGUUCCAUCCUCAGCACCG
rnacentral:tRNA from 1 species